UAUUGGUCAAUGGCCGCAGGGCUGAACCAGCCAAGUCGCGUGAGGGAUGACGGUCCUAUGGAUUGUAAACCUCUUUUGUCAGGGAGCAAAGGGCGCCACGUGUGGCGUUUUGCGAGUACCUGAAGAAAAAGCAUCGGCUAACCCCGUGCCAGCAGCCGCGGUAAUACGGAGGAUGCGAGCGUUAUCCGGAUUUAUUGGGUUUAAAGGGUGCGCAGGUGGAAUGUCAAGUCAGCGGUAAAAUUGCGGGGCUCAACCCCGUACUGCCGUUGAAACUGCAUCCCUUGAGUGCGCGAGAAGUAUGCGGAAUGCGUGGUGUAGCGGUGAAAUGCAUAGAUAUCACGCAGAACUCCGAUUGCGAAGGCAGCAUACCGGUGCGCAACUGACGCUCAUGCACGAAAGCGUGGGUAUCGAACAGG
rnacentral:rRNA from 1 species